rnacentral:rRNA from 1 species
UACAGAGGGUGCAAGCGUUGUUCGGAAUUAUUGGGCGUAAAGGGCGCGUAGGCGGUUCGGCAAGUCUCUAGUGAAAUCUCUGGGCUCAACUCAGAGUCUGCUGGGGAAACUGCCGGGCUUGAGUGUGGGAGAGGAGAGUGGAAUUCCCGGUGUAGCGGUGAAAUGCGCAGAUAUCGGGAGGAACACCAAUGGCGAAGGCAGCUCGCUGGGACGGUACUGACGCUGAGACGCGAAAGCGUGGGGAGCGAACAGG